rnacentral:rRNA from 1 species
GACGUAGGGCGCGAGCGUUGUCCGGAUUUAUUGGGCGUAAAGAGCUCGUAGGUGGCUUGUCGCGUCGACUGUGAAAACCCGUGGCUCAACCAUGUGGUCUGCAGUCGAUACGGGCAGGCUAGAAUUCGGUAGGGGAGACUGGAACUCCUGGUGUAGCGGUGAAAUGCGCAGAUAUCAUGAGGAACACCGGUGGCGAAGGCGGGUCUCUGGGCCGAUAUUGACGCUGAGGAGCGAAAGCGUGGGGAGCGAACAGG